GGGGAAUUGGCGGUUAAAGACAAGCUGACCUUACUUGGACAUUUUCUAAUCAUCUCCAUUGAAAUCUGCUUUCAAGGACUGUGAAGCCAAACUAGGUGCUGGGCAUUUAUUCUUGUCAAUGGAGUGAAAUGGUCUAGAUGAUCACAUCUGUUUCUGUCUUUUGAAUGAGGUGGACUUGCAAAUUAUGUACUUUUUUUUGUGGAAAUCGCAAGAGAAUCAUUGAACAUUACAGUAACAGUCACAGACAUUACGGAAGAAGCUGUCCACUACCCUGCAUAUACACAGACUGUGCACAGUAUUUCAGAUGUAAAAAAGCCUUGCGGGUCCAUUUAACAGAUCAUGAGGUCACAGAAGGAGUAUGUAAUGGACUUGCUGGCUUUAAAGUAAAAUGCCUGUUGUGUAACUUUAAUCAGGCUGUUGGACUAAAGCAGUAUAUUGCUCAUCAAGGUAAACAUCUGAGGAACAGGGAAAUUGUUACUUGCCCUUUUAAUCAGUGUUCUUUUAAAUCACACCUUUACUCCAGUUUUACAUCACAUAAGAGUCGU